rnacentral:rRNA from 1 species
GGAAUAUUGGACAAUGGGGGCAACCCUGAUCCAGCCAUGCCGCGUGUGUGAAGAAGGCCUUAGGGUUGUAAAACACUUUCAGCGGGGAAGAUAAUGACGGUACCCGCAGAAGAAGCCCCGGCUACCUUCGUGCCAGCAGCCGCGGUAAUACGAAGGGGGCUAGCGUUGCUCGGAAUCACUGGGCGUAAAGCGUACGUAGGCGGGUCUUUAAGUCAGGGGUGAAAUCCCGGAGCUCAACUCCGGAACUGCCUUUGAUACUGGAGAUCUUGAGUCCGGGAGAGGUGAGUGGAACUGCGAGUGUAGAGGUGAAAUUCGUAGAUAUUCGCAAGAACACCAGUGGCGAAGGCGGCUCACUGGCCCGGUACUGACGCUGAGGUGCGAAAGCGUGGGGAGCAAA